UGCUCUACCAACAAAGCUAGUCAAGUGCCUCAAUGCUGGGAUUUUUAAAAUUUACUCUUAAUAUCACUACCACUCAAUGCAGUCCUGGCCCAUAGUAGAAGUUCAAUUAUUAUUUGUUGAAUGAAUAAAUGAAUGAAUGAGGUAAAGAAAAAAAAAACCGGCUACAAAACCAUAUAUACCAUUAUCUCCAUUUUGUUUAAAAAAAAAAAAGUUCAUAUCCACACAUACACUUGCUUGUCACUUUAAAUUAAAUAGAUCCCUGAUGCUUCACACACUGGAAACACUAUAUAGAGUGGCCCAGAUGAAAAGCAACUUGGUUUCAAACAGAAACCAUGUCUCUUUUGAGCAGCAGCUUAUACAGGCCUUUCAUUAUAUACUUCAGUUUCAUCUGUUUUGGAAAAUGACUUCCUAGGACUGUCCAAAGUGAAUUUUGUGCCUGAUACAUAUAAGGUUGGGCUAUUCCAAACAUGCUUUCUGGAUUGGAUGAAAAUCUGUUCAGCUUUUUGUACAAUGCAGUAGCAGAAAAACCGAAGUGUAGUUUUAUUGAUAUAGAUUGCCAUUGAAAAAAACCUAGAAUAUUUAUCGGUGUUAGAGCAGUGGUGUUAUGGAUGAUUUUAUUUUCUCCUUUAUAUGUUGUCUAAAUUUUAACUAAUGAACAUGUAUUAGUUUUAUAGUGAGAAAAAGUAUUUUUGUUCAUUCAGUUUUGGAAAAUGUAUAUGCAGUAAUUUUAACUUUUUUUGGUGUGCAAUUCUCUGAAUUUAGACAAUGUAUAUAGUUGUAUGUCAAUUGCACCACAGUCACGGUAUAAAACCGUUCUGUCACCCCCAGAGAUUCUUUAGUACUGCUCCUUUGUAAGCACCCUAUACUUCCCUUGUCCCCAGUCCCUCAUAAUGGUUGAUGUGUUUUCCUUCCUAUGAUCUUGCUUUUUUCAGAAUGCCAUUUAAAGUGAAAUCUUAAAGUAUGCUGCCUUUUGAGGUGGACUUAUUUGAUAAAGCAUAAUGCAUUUGUGAUUCA